CUUUACAGUCAAUUGGAGUAGAAACGUAUGAUGACUUCCAGUUCAUUGUUGAGGAAGACUUGCUGUCAGCAUUAAGACCAAUUCAAGCCAGAAAGGCACUUGCUGCUUGGAAAUUCAGAUGUCAAUCCUGCUUCCAUGCUAAACGAUUCAUGCUGAGUGUGGAUCAACAGAUUGGAAACAACAUCAUCUCCUGUUUUAUUUCUGCCCUCUGCAUGAUGUUUGGGAGCUAUUAUUGUUUUAACAUACAUUAUCCAUCGGGGCUGGCGUCUACACUGGAGUUUCUGCAGAGGUGUUUCUUCUCAAUCAACCCAGACAAGGGCAGUAAGGUAGAAGAAACCCGUAAACCCAGACUGCGUGUGAACCCCCGUGUACUCACCUUGAUCCAGGAACUUUCGGAUCAUGAGUGGCGUGAUGUUUGAGAAAGGACUAAAGUCAGUGAGUUAUCAAGACAGUGUUUAAUCUUAACAGAGCUGAAUAGAUUUGUAAAUGUAUGUUGCAUCUCACACUGUGUCUGCUGAAGUUAAAAAAGUUGAAAAGACAUAUUUAUAUUUGUUCAGUGGCUGAAUUUUGCUCAAUGUCAGAAAGGACAAAUGAGAAUUUCAUUGAAAAUAUGUUUUCAAUUAAAAUGUUUAUUUGUUUCUAAAAAAAAUUUGAAUUAUCAUUAUAGAUACA